AAAAAUUUAGUUUAAUAAGAAUAUAAAAUUUGCAUUUUUAAGGUUUAAUUUUUG
rnacentral:tRNA from 1 species